rnacentral:lncRNA from 1 species
UCGAGGUAAUUCCACCUCCAUCAUGUGCUCCAAAUUCAUAUUUCAUUUUUCUAGAAUUACAAAAUUCAGUAAAAAAAUAUAAAUUAUAAUUUUCCUUCUUAAUUUUUAUAUUCAAAAUAAUUGAAUGGAAUUAAGAAAAAAUAAUAAAAAUACCCAUUUUUUAUCAAAAAUACUGUGUAAUUUUUUUGUGUUAAAAUAUCAAACUUACGGU